rnacentral:snoRNA from 1 species
AAUUGGCUAUGAGGAUUUCUAUUCAGCUUUAUAUGCCAGUUCUGCUUCUGAAAAUUUGUGAUUGAUAGAGCUGUUUAUCUCUGAGCCAGUA